rnacentral:tRNA from 1 species
GGGGUUGUGGCUCAGUGGUAGAGCGCUUGCCUCACAUGUAUGAGGCAUUAGGUUCAAUCCUCAGCACCA